AAUAUGACUCUCGGCAAUGGAUAUCUUGGCUCUCGCCAUGAUGAAGUAUGUAGCAAAAUGUGAUACUUAGUGUGAAUUGUAGAAUCCUGUGAAUCAUCGAGUCUUUGAAUGUAAGUUGCGCUCGAGGCCUCGGUCGAGGGCACGCCUGCUUGGGCGUCGCAC
rnacentral:rRNA from 1 species